GAUGAACGCUGGCGGCGUGCCUAAUACAUGCAAGUCGAGCGAACGGACGAGAAGCUUGCUUCUCUGAUGUUAGCGGCGGACGGGUGAGUAACACGUGGAUAACCUACCUAUAAGACUGGGAUAACUUCGGGAAACCGGAGCUAAUACCGGAUAAUAUUUUGAACCGCAUGGUUCAAAAGUGAAAGACGGUCUUGCUGUCACUUAUAGAUGGAUCCGCGCUGCAUUAGCUAGUUGGUAAGGUAACGGCUUACCAAGGCAACGAUGCAUAGCCGACCUGAGAGGGUGAUCGGCCACACUGGAACUGAGACACGGUCCAGACUCCUACGGGAGGCAGCAGUAGGGAAUCUUCCGCAAUGGGCGAAAGCCUGACGGAGCAACGCCGCGUGAGUGAUGAAGGUCUUCGGAUCGUAAAACUCUGUUAUUAGGGAAGAACAUAUGUGUAAGUAACUGUGCACAUCUUGACGGUACCUAAUCAGAAAGCCACGGCUAACUACGUGCCAGCAGCCGCGGUAAUACGUAGGUGGCAAGCGUUAUCCGGAAUUAUUGGGCGUAAAGCGCACGUAGGCGGUUUUUUAAGUCUGAUGUGAAAGCCCACGGCUCAACCGUGGAGGGUCAUUGGAAACUGGAAAACUUGAGUGCAGAAGAGGAAAGUGGAAUUCCAUGUGUAGCGGUGAAAUGCGCAGAGAUAUGGAGGAACACCAGUGGCGAAGGCGACUUUCUGGUCUGUAACUGACGCUGAUGUGCGAAAGCGUGGGGAUCAAACAGGAUUAGAUACCCUGGUAGUCCACGCCGUAAACGAUGAGUGCUAAGUGUUAGGGGGUUUCCGCCCCUUAGUGCUGCAGCUAACGCAUUAAGCACUCCGCCUGGGGAGUACGACCGCAAGGUUGAAACUCAAAGGAAUUGACGGGGACCCGCACAAGCGGUGGAGCAUGUGGUUUAAUUCGAAGCAACGCGAAGAACCUUACCAAAUCUUGACAUCCUUUGACAACUCUAGAGAUAGAGCUUUCCCCUUCGGGGGACAAAGUGACAGGUGGUGCAUGGUUGUCGUCAGCUCGUGUCGUGAGAUGUUGGGUUAAGUCCCGCAACGAGCGCAACCCUUAAGCUUAGUUGCCAUCAUUAAGUUGGGCACUCUAAGUUGACUGCCGGUGACAAACCGGAGGAAGGUGGGGAUGACGUCAAAUCAUCAUGCCCCUUAUGAUUUGGGCUACACACGUGCUACAAUGGACAAUACAAAGGGCAGCGAAACCGUGAGGUCAAGCAAAUCCCAUAAAGUUGUUCUCAGUUCGGAUUGUAGUCUGCAACUCGACUACAUGAAGCUGGAAUCGCUAGUAAUCGUAGAUCAGCAUGCUACGGUGAAUACGUUCCCGGGUCU
rnacentral:rRNA from 1 species